rnacentral:rRNA from 1 species
CCUACGGGAGGCAGCAGUGAGGAAUAUUGGUCAAUGGGCGCAAGCCUGAACCAGCCAAGUAGCGUGCAGGACGACUGCCCUAUGGGUUGUAAACUGCUUUUAUACGGGAAUAAAGUGUGCCACGUGUGGUGUUUUGUAUGUACCGUAUGAAUAAGGACCGGCUAAUUCCGUGCCAGCAGCCGCGGUAAUA